GUCGCGAGGCGUGGGCUGAAGGAAGCCGGCGGCAAACCACUGAUCCGACGAACAGGAACCGCAUCAGGCAUACGAAGGUGGCUAAGUCUGCUAAACAAGAUGAAGCCCUACAGCUACACGGACCGGAGGUGUAAAUGCGGCGGAUAGAUGGUGGAAAAGAAU
rnacentral:ncRNA from 1 species